CAGAUUAGAGCUAGAAAAAAGUAUUUUAUUUACACUAAAAAGAUUUCUGAGGAUCAGAAUGAUCUGA
rnacentral:tRNA from 1 species